rfam:Desulfatibacillum alkenivorans AK-01, complete genome.
GGGGGUGUAGCUCAGCUGGGAGAGCACCUGCCUUGCACGCAGGGGGUCAUCGGUUCGAAUCCGUUCACCUCCA